UACGUAUGGUGCAAGCGUUGUUCGGAUUUACUGGGCGUAAAGAGCGCGCGGGCGGAUAAUUAAGUCAGGUGUGAAAUCUUCGGGCUCAACCCGAAGACUGCACUUGAAACUAAUGAUCUCGAGUCCCGGAGAGGCAGGCAGAAUUCCUGGUGUAGCGGUGAAAUGCGUAGAUAUCAGGAGGAAUACCAAUGGCGAAGGCAGCCUGCUGGACGGUGACUGACGCUGAGGCGCGAAAGCGUGGGGAG
rnacentral:rRNA from 1 species